ACAUUGGUGGUUCAAUGGUAGAAUUCUUGCUUUCCAUGUGGAAUUCCUGGGUUCAAUUCCUGGCCAACAUA
rnacentral:tRNA from 1 species